UACGUAGGGUGCGAGCGUUAAUCGGAAUUACUGGGCGUAAAGCGUGCGCAGGCGGUUUUGUAAGUCAGAUGUGAAAUCCCCGGGCUUAACCUGGGAAUGGCAUUUGGGACUGCAAGGCUUGAGUGCGGCAGAGGAGACUGGAAUCCCUGGUGUAGCAGUGAAAUGCGUAGAUAUCAGGAGGAACACCGAUGGCGAAGGCAGGUCUCUGGGCUGACACUGACGCUCAUGCACGAAAGCGUGGGGAGCAAACAGG
rnacentral:rRNA from 1 species